AAUAUUGGACAAUGGGGGCAACCCUGAUCCAGCCAUGCCGCGUGAGUGAUGAAGGCCUUCGGGUUGUAAAGCUCUUUUGGCGGGGACGAUGAUGACGGUACCCGCAGAAUAAGCCCCGGCUAACUUCGUUCCAGCAGCCGCGGUAAGACGAAGGGGGCAAGCGUUGUUCGGAAUUACUGGGCGUAAAGGGCGCGUAGGCGGCCAUUUUAGUCAGACGUGAAAGGCCUGGGCUCAACCUAGGAAUUGCGUUUGAUACUGAGUGGCUAGAGAGCGGGAGAGGAUGGUGGAAUUCCCAGUGUAGAGGUGAAAUUCGUAGAUAUUGGGAAGAACACCGGUGGCGAAGGCGGCCAUCUGGACCGUAUCUGACGCUGAGGCGCGAAAGCGUGGGGAGCAAAC
rnacentral:rRNA from 1 species